GACGAACGCUGGCGGCGUGCCUAAUACAUGCAAGUAGAACGCUGAAGGAGGAGCUUGCUUCUCUGGAUGAGUUGCGAACGGGUGAGUAACGCGUAGGUAACCUGCCUGGUAGCGGGGGAUAACUAUUGGAAACGAUAGCUAAUACCGCAUAAUAGUAGAUGUUGCAUGACAUUUGCUUAAAAGGUGCAAUUGCAUCACUACCAGAUGGACCUGCGUUGUAUUAGCUAGUUGGUGAGGUAACGGCUCACCAAGGCGACGAUACAUAGCCGACCUGAGAGGGGGAUCGGCCACACUGGGACUUAGACACGGCCCAGACUCCUACGGGAGGCAGCAGUAGGGAAUCUUCGGCAAUGGACGGAAGUCUGACCGAGCAACGCCGCGUGAGUGAAGAAGGUUUUCGGAUCGUAAAGCUCUGUUGUAAGAGAAGAACGAGUGUGAGAGUGGAAAGUUCACACUGUGACGGUAUCUUACCAGAAAGGGACGGCUAACUACGUG
rnacentral:rRNA from 1 species